UAAAAUAGCCAUAUUAUACAGUAAGUGUAUAUUUAACUUCAUAUGAAAUGGCAUAACUAUUCUUUAGAGUGGUUGUACCAGUAGUCUUCCUAUCAGCAGUGUAUGAGAAUUACAGUUGCUUCUCAUCUGUGCCAUAAUUUAGGUCAUUUGUCAAAUUGUGAUUUGCAAAUAUGUUACUUCAGUCUCUGGUUUGGCUUUUAACUUUAAUUUUGCUGAAGUCCAACUUGUCAACUUUUUUUAAAACAUAUUAUGAUUUUAGAGUCAUAUAUAAAAACUUUUUACCAUCUACAGAUGACUGGAUAAAGGGAAUGCGGUACAUAUACACAAUGGAGUCAUAAAUUCAGUCAUAAAAUUAAUGAAA
rnacentral:lncRNA from 1 species